UACAGAGGAGCCAAGCGUUGUCCGGAUUGACUGGGCGUAAAGCGCACGCAGGCGGCUGCGCGCGUGGGGUGUGAAAUCUGGCCGCUUAACGGCCAGGCGCCAUCCCAUACGGCGCGGCUUGAGCCUUGCAGAGGGCGGUGGAAUUGCCGGUGUAGUGGUGAAAUGCGUAGAGAUCGGCAGGAACACCCAGUGGGAAACCAGUCGACUGGGCAUCUACUGACGCUGAGGUGCGAGAGCGUGGGGAGCGAACCGG
rnacentral:rRNA from 1 species